rnacentral:rRNA from 1 species
AGAGUUUGAUCAUGGCUCAGAUUGAACGCUGGCGGCAGGCCUAACACAUGCAAGUCGAGCGGCAGCACGGGUACUUGUACCUGGUGGCGAGCGGCGGACGGGUGAGUAAUGCCUAGGAAUCUGCCUGGUAGUGGGGGAUAACGCUCGGAAACGGACGCUAAUACCGCAUACGUCCUACGGGAGAAAGCAGGGGACCUUCGGGCCUUGCGCUAUCAGAUGAGCCUAGGUCGGAUUAGCUAGUUGGUGAGGUAAUGGCUCACCAAGGCGACGAUCCGUAACUGGUCUGAGAGGAUGAUCAGUCACACUGGAACUGAGACACGGUCCAGACUCCUACGGGAGGCAGCAGUGGGGAAUAUUGGACAAUGGGCGAAAGCCUGAUCCAGCCAUGCCGCGUGUGUGAAGAAGGUCUUCGGAUUGUAAAGCACUUUAAGUUGGGAGGAAGGGCAGUUACCUAAUACGUAUCUGUUUUGACGUACCGACAGAAUAG